GUCCUCAAGAAUGAAGAAAAUGCUGGAAAUUGAUACGAAUUUAAGGUGUUGCCUUCUCAUCAGCCGACGGAAUGUGAAAAUCCCAUAUAGUUUCUUUUGCUGGCCACCAGUUAAUUCCCUGAAUUUUGGAAUACCAAAUGUUAACUUCCAUCAUAUGCUUCAGCUGAAAUGUCCCAUAGAAUUGGCUAAAAGUUGCAGGUGAUAGUAUGAACUGUUAAUGAACAAAGAAUUAUUUUUUUUUCUUUUUCUUCUGCAAAUUUUUCAUGCUUGUUCCUUGAAGAUCAUA
rnacentral:misc_RNA from 1 species